UUCGACGACGACAGGGGACGACAAUAGGCUUAGUUCGUCAGAUCGAUCGAUGAUCUGAGGCCGAGGUGCAUCUUGGAUCCUCGCACAGAGAUUUCGCUUGGCCCGCGAAGCAGCAGCGUUUGUUGGACAAUCUUUAGAUUUCGAGACGGGGGUGGCAUGACGGCGAUCUUGGCGCAGCGGUUCCUGCCGUCGGUGGACUCGGAGUGCCUUGAGAGGCAUUCCCUUCUCCCCCCGACCGGCGGUGCGACUUGGCGGUGGGGGAAUAUGGCGCCAUGUACUUGCCGGCCCCCGGCGAAGCUCGGCAUCAUCCAAGAAACGAAGAGGUCUGCCGCCUUUCUUUAUCUCCUCCGCAUGAUGCAUACCAAGAGAAGAGAAAAAGAGAAUUGAAUGGGUUAUCAGAUGAGAAGCUACAGGUGGAGGACAGCCCUUGCCUUGGAUACAGGUGGAUCCCCUAGUAGCAAUGGUCAAGAGAACCUAGGGGAUAAUGCAGGGCUUGGCAGGACUAGAUUGGGCACUAUUGUACGAGCCGCUGCUGCACAGCUUCUUGAAAAGUUAAAUGCUGCUCGGAAGAACUUUCCGAUGAAAAUAUUCCUCCUCCUCUUGGGUUUCUACACAGCCAAUGCUUUAGCAACAAUCCUAGGGCAGACCGGUGACUGGGAUGUCCUGGUGGCUGGCGUGGUGGUGGCUGUGAUCGAGGGAAUUGGCAUGCUCAUGUAUAGAAAACCAUUCACUACGCCCAUAGGGAGGUUGCAGAACUUAAUUGUGAUGGUGAACUACUGGAAAGCUGGUGUAUGCUUGGGUCUCUUUGUUGAUGCCUUCAAGCUAGGAAGUUAGAACUUGAAUGUUUCUCGACCUGGCUAUAUCAAUAAUAGCUUUCCUGGUUUCUUCA